GCUGGGCAUGGUGGUGUAUGCCUGUAAUCCCAGUGGUUUAGGAGGCCUAGACAGGAGGAUCACGAGUUCAAAGCCAGCCUCAGCAAUUUAGCAAGGCUCUAAGCAACUCAGCAAGACCCUGUCUCUA
rnacentral:sRNA from 1 species